AGGUUGAACAUGAGGAUAUUUCCAAGAUACGUGCCAAAAAGAAGUAUGAGUUCAGUCUGUUCCUCCUUGAACAGUCAGAAAAACAGCUCGAGUCUGCGAAGGUCUGGGCUCAGAGGUUUCAAAGGGCAGACAAGUACCUGGGUUGGACUCUCAAGGUGGUCAUGCCUGCUUCUCUUGUGGCUGCGAUAGCUGGGUCCAAGUAGGCGAUCAAAAUGUCCAUUCGUUGUUUUGUUUAUUGAUGAUGGCAUAUGUGUUAUGUAGGGGCGCUCUACUUAUGGCUCAUGUGCACUUUGUCUAUAGCAUGUUAUGUAAGUCUCGGUUUAUGGCGGUUCGAAUGUGAUCACUAUGAUGAUGAUAACAUUACCUGGUGAACGAUGAGUCGGGCAGUUUUGUUAGUGCAGCAGAACAUAUUAUUGUCCUGAAAAUGCUGAAUCAUAUGAGACUUUGGUUAAAAUCA